GCAUAUCAAUAAGCGGAGGAAAAGAAACCAACAGGGAUUGCCCUAGUAACGGCGAGUGAAGCGGCAACAGCUCAAAUUUGAAAUCUGGCCCUAGGGUCCGAGUUGUAAUUUGUAGAGGAUGCUUUUGGGCAGUCUUCCGGUCUAAGUUCCUUGGAACAGGACGUCAUAGAGGGUGAGAAUCCCGUAUGUGACCGGCUAGGCACCCUCCGUAAAGCUCCUUCGACGAGUCGGGUUGUUUGGGAAUGCAGCCCUAAAUUGGAGGUAAAUUUCUUCUAAAGCUAAAUACCGGCCAGAGACCGAUAGCGCACAAGUAGAGUGAUCGAAAGAUGAAAAGCACUUUGGAAAGAGAGUUAAAAAGCACGUGAAAUUGUUGAAAGGGAAGCGCUUGCAAUCAGACUCGACUGCGGCCGUUCAGCCUGUCUUCUGACAGGUCCACUCGGUCGCAGCCGGCCCAAAAUCAGUUUCGGCGGUCGGACAAAGGUUGGUGGAAUGUAGCUCCCCCGGGAGUGUUAUAGCCACCGGCGCAAUGCGGCCAGCCGGGACUGAGGUCGCGCUC
rnacentral:rRNA from 1 species